rnacentral:rRNA from 1 species
GACGUAGGUGGCGAGCGUUAUCCGGAUUUAUUGGGCGUAAAGGGCGCGUAGGCGGUCACGCACGUCCGUUGUGAAAUCGCUCGGCUCAACUGGGCGGGGUCAGCGGAUACGGCGUGGCUGGAGCAAGCUAGGGGGCAAUGGAAUUCCCGGUGUAGUGGUGGAAUGCGUAGAUAUCGGGAGGAACACCAGUGGCGAAGGCGGUUGCCUGGAGCUUUGCUGACGCUGAUGCGCGAAAGCGUGGGGAGCGAUCAGG